GCGCAGUGUGUUUUCUCUGUAAUUCUGGGCCGUGUUCCGGAAGCCGCGUAAGACAAAAGCGAACGAGAGGCGGAAAAAAGGAAGACGCUUCCUGAAGAUGCUGGACUAGUUUUCAUACUAGAUCCCCUCGUGGCAGCAUUAAGGAACUUCACAUUCUUCUCACACUAUUCAUGGAAAGUUCCUGGAACUCCCACAGCAGCAAGGAAACUUCGCUUGUAGGAGUCCUUAGCACAUCUGUAAAGUUUUAUUGGCCAAAAUGUGAUACAUCUCCAUUUCUGGAUCGAUCACUGUGGUCAAGUGCAAGACGCUCUGCAGGACUCAACCUGGGGAUGAGGUCUGUCCACUCCAUCCAUAUGGUCACUUUAUACUGAGGUUGGACAGAUACUUCUACACAGCAAAAGAAACAAUCAACAAAGUAAACUGACAACCUGCAGAAUGGGAAAAAUAUUUACAAACUAUGCAUCUGAUGAAAAGCUACCAUCUGGAAUCUACAAGAAAAUCAAACAACUCAACAAAAUAACCCCAUUAAAAAUAACUCCAUUAAAAUAUGGGCAAAGGACAUGAAACAGACAUUUUCCAAAAGAAGACAUACAAGUGGCCAACAAACAUAGGAAAAAAUGCUCAACAUGACUAACCAGAGAAUGCAAAUUAAAACCACAGUGAGAUACCAUCUUACACCAGUCAGAAUGGCUAUUGUUAAAAAGUCUAAAAACAAUAGCUGUUGGUGAGGAUGCAGAGAUAAGGGAAUGCUUAUCCACUGUUGGAGGGAAUGUAAAUUAGUACAACCUUUAUGGAAAACUGUAUGGAGAUUUCUCAAAGAAUUAAAAAAUAGAACUACCAUUUGAUCCAGGAAUCCCAUUACUGGGUAUAUACCUGAAGGGAAAGAAACUAUUAUAUCAAAAAGAUACUGGCAUUCAGAUGUUUAUCACAGCCCUAUUCACAAUAGCAAGGAUAUGGAAUCAACCUAAGUGUCUAUCAAUGGAGGAUUGGAUAAAGAAAAUGUGAGAAACACACACACCCACACGCACACACACACACACCAUGGAAUACUACUCAGCAAUAAAAAAUAAAAUCAUGUCUUGUGCAGCAACAUGGAUGGAGUUGGAGUCCAUUAUAUUAAAUGAAAUAACUCAGAAACAGAAGGUCAAAUACCACAUAUUCUCAGUUAUGAGUGGGAGCUAAACAGUGGGUAUCAUGGAUAUGCAGGGCGAAAUAAUAGACAUUGGAGACACAAAAGGCGGGAGGGGCCCAGCCCAGUGGCUCAUGCCUGUAAUCCCAGCACUUUGGGAGGCCGAGGCAGGCAGAUUACUUGAGGCCAGGAGUAAAACCAGCCUGGCCAACAUUGCUAAACCCCAUCUCUACUAAAAAUACAAAAAUUAGCUGGGUGUGGUGGCAUGCGCCUGUAAUCCCAGCUACUAGGGAAGCUAAGGCAUGAGAAUCACUUGAACCUGAGAGGCAGAGGUUGCAGUGAGCCAAGAUCACGCCACUGCACUCCAGCCUUGUUGACAGAGUGAGACUCUGUGUCAAAAAAAAAAAAAAAGGUAGGAAGAUGGGAGGGUGGGAAAGGAGUGAAUAUUGAACAAUUCCCUACUGGGUAUGAUGUUCACUAUUUGAGUGAUGGGUACACUGAAAGCUCAGGCCUCACCACUAUGCAACAUAUGUGUGUAAGUAACCUGCACUUGUACCCCACAAAUAUAUAAAAAUUUAAAGAAUUCAAGUAUAUAUAAAUAUGGAGCUGGAGGCCAUUAUCCUAAAGGAAAUAACUCAGAAACAAAAAGUCAAAUGUCACAUAUUCUCACUUAUGAGUGGGAGCUAAACAACAGGUACCAUGGACAUGUAGAGUGGAAUAAUAGACACUGGAGACUACAAAAGGUGGGAGGGGCCGGGCGUAGUGGCUCAGGCCUGUAAUCCCAGUAGUAGGCAUACUGCAUUUAUUGAGCAAGUACAAAACAAAUAUUUAUUGAAUGCAUUCAGGCAUUACUUAAUUUCUUUUUUAAGAAAUUAAAAAAUCAAUGUGUUUGGAUUUUUAAGCAAUGUGUUUGUAUUUUUCUUAUUAAAUAGUAAGUUCUGUGUAUGUUUUACAAAUACUUAAAUUCCCAAUUGUGUUGUUGAAUAUUUUCCCCACAUUUUUGUUUGCCAUUAAGUUUUGCUUAAUAUGUUUUUGGUUGAUUAAAAAUUUUUAUUUUUA